CGGUAAACCAGGGCUACUCCAUGCAGGAUGAAUUGGGUUGAGAUGUAAAUAUUUUCUAUCAGAGUAUUAACUGCUUAUUAAAAGGGUAUUGAGAUUUAUAUGUUAUGUGGAUAUAAUUAUAGACAUCACAGAGGGGUCACUGGCGUGCUGGAAACAUCUCUCACAGGGCUGUUAAUCCAGAAAUGUGUGUCCUGCAGUCAGCUGGCCUUUAGGUAGAGUGUUUUACUUGUCUUAUUAAGCAGAAAUUAAACACAGGUAUAAAUGCUGCUGCUGCACACGCGGCUCCGUUUUCUGGACCCACCACAGGCAGGUCACGUGGCACCACCGAGCCCUGACCUGACGACUCUGUGAUAAAAGAGGGAGCUCCGUGUUGCAAGGUCUUGACUUGCAGUGACCUGAGGCGCCCCGGGGGAAGAGCUGGGGCUGCUUCUCUCCUCCACCCACGUGCAGGGUCUGACUGCCCAGGUCUGGGAGAGAAAGGGGACCUGCUGGUGCCAGUCACAUGCCUCGUGCUCACAGAGGGGGCACGCUUGCUCUGUGGACCCCUUCCUCUAAGAGCUUGGAGAGAGAGAGGUGUCGCACUCCCUGGGGACAGAGCAGAGCCUGACGCAGUCAAGGCAGACAUCACUCAAGAGCACCGAGAACAUGGUCCUUCUCAGCAGAGUGCUCUCGACAGCCAGCCAGUACUAAUCUAUCCAGGUUUGCCAUGCUGGCGAAGCUGUUGCGUGGAAAACAAAUCCUCGAGGUGCAUCUGAGAGAAUCAAGGCCCAAGAAGGUGGACUUGCCCAAGACGUGGCAGGUAAGUGCAUCUGUGAACCUACAGCCAGCUUUGGGGAGGUGUUGGGGGUGCCUUCUCAUGUUUGGAACAUACUGAAGAAGCCCCA
rnacentral:lncRNA from 1 species